UACGAAGGUGGCAAGCGUUGUUCGGAUUUACUGGGCGUACAGGGAGCGUAGGCGGUUGGAUAAGCCCUCCGUGAAAUCUCCAGGCUUAACCUGGAAAGUGCAGAGGGGACUGUUCAGCUAGAGGAUGGGAGAGGAGCGCGGAAUUCCCGGUGUAGCGGUGAAAUGCGUAGAGAUCAGGAGGAACACCCGUGGCGAAGGCGGCCUUCUGGGUCCGCCCUGACGCUGAGGAGCGAAAGCAUGGGGAGCGAACAGG
rnacentral:rRNA from 1 species